CGCAAGCUGUUAUUCUGCGCUGGAAACUUGAGCAGAGGAGAAGGGAGAAGGAAAGAGUCUGGUGCACUGAAACCUGCCCUGCUGGCUCAUAAGAGUUGAUUGUGCAUGGCUCGGUCCUAACGCUGUGUUCAGCGACAUCGAACUGCCCACUUGCAGUUGGGCGGGACCAUGUGACCAGUUCUGCUGAGUGAGCUGUGAGUUGAAGUGACACGUAGCAGAAGAUUUAGGAGCUGAUGUGCCAUCUUCCAGCCUUCUCUUCUACAGCUGCAAUCGUGGAGGCCAUAUGUUGAGACAGCAGAACCACAGGAUGAAGUAACCUGAUUGCUGAGUCAGCACAUGGAGAACAGCUGUCUUUAGAGAGCUGCCUGAUUGUCUGUGGAUGUCAGGGAAAUAAACAUUUGCUCUGUUUAGCCACUGAGAUUCAAGACAAUUUUGUUACCACAAAAUAAUUUAGUCUAGCAGUCCUCAAACCUUUGAGUCUCAGGACUUCUUUAAACUCUUAAAAAAUUACUGGUAAUCCUA